rnacentral:rRNA from 1 species
GUUUGAUCCUGGCUCAGAUUGAACGCUGGCGGCAUGCCUUANACAUGCAAGUCGAACGGCAGCACGGGAGCAAUCCUGGUGGCGAGUGGCGAACGGGUGAGUAAUAUAUCGGAACGUGCCCAGUAGUGGGGGAUAACCCGGCGAAAGCCGGACUAAUACCGCAUACGACCUACGGGUGAAAGCAGGGGAUCGCAAGACUUUGCGCUAUCGGAGCGGCCGAUAUCAGAUUAGCUUGUUGGUGGGGUAAAAGCCUACCAAGGCGACGAUCUGUAGCUGGUCUGAGAGGACGACCAGCCACACUGGAACUGAGACACGGCCCAGACUCCUACGGGAGGCAGCAGUGGGGAAUUUUGGACAAUGGGCGCAAGCCUGAUCCAGCCAUGCCGCGUGCGGGAAGAAGGCCUUCGGGUUGUAAACCGCUUUGUCAGGGAAGAAACGGCUCGGGCUAAUACCUCGGGCUAAUGACGGUACCUGAAGAAUAAGCACCGGCUAACUACGUG